CUUCUAAGUUGCAAACUUUAUUUUUUGGGUUGUGUUGAAUUAAUAAUGUUGGUAAUUACAUUAAAUUAAUUUUAUAUGUAAUUUGAAAUUAAAUCCCAAUGUUAGUGGGUUCAAAAUAAAAUUCAAGUUGUAAUUACUUAAAGAAAUUGAAUAGAUAACUUAUUUUUUUUCUUCUGAUUUCAAAUUCCCUCCCCUACCGACUUAACUAGCCCGGGCAAAUUCACACAUGUUGGGUUGCAUGGUGCAAGCUUUUGUAAAAGACAUUUCAAGAUAAAGGAGGAGUUCAAGAGAAUAACCACUGUAAGCCUUGAAUGGCUACACUUGACAAUUGCACCCCAAAACUGAUGGAUGUCAUUUUAUCAAGGGGAGGAGCUAAGGGAGUGAGAAUCAGGCAGAUCAAGGACAUGCUUCUUGAGCACAAGACAAUUGAAACAAGCAGAGAAGUAGCCAUCUGCUGCCUUAUCACUUUCCUUGGAGAGAAGGACGAGGACC
ensembl:lncRNA